GAUCAUGGCUCAGGACGAACGCUGGCGGCGUGCUUAACACAUGCAAGUCGAACGAAGAGACUUGGAAGCUUGCUUCUAAGAAUCUUAGUGGCGAACGGGUGAGUAACGCGUAAUCAACCUGCCCUUCAGAGGGGGGACGAACAGUUGGAAACGACUGCUAAUACCGCAUACGAUCCAAUCUCGGCAUCGAGGAUGGAUGAAAGGUGGCCUCUAUUUAUAAGCUAUCACUGAAGGAGGGG
rnacentral:rRNA from 1 species